UCCCUCUUAGCUCAGUGGUGAGAGCGCGUCACUAGUAUGCGUUGUGCAUGACGAGGUCAGUCGUUCAAGUCGGCUAGAGGGAA